rnacentral:rRNA from 1 species
AUGGUAACUUUCUAUCAACGCUUAAGAUAUGAAAUAUUAAAUGUUCUGCUUGACCAAAUAAUUACUGAGUUAAAUAACCGCUUUGCUGAAAGAUCUACUCAAUUGUUGAGAUGCAUUGCUUGUCUUGAUCCAAGGAACUCAUUUGCUAAUUUUGAUGAAGACAAACUUGUUCAACUUGCUCAGAUGUAUGCUGAUGACUUCUCCAUAUAUGAGAUUUGUUUUGUCCUUAGAAACCAACUUGAAAACUUCAUUGCUGAUGUGAGAGCUGAUCCAAGUUUUGUUAGUUGUAAUGACCUUGGUGGUCUUGCUAUGAACAUGGUUCAAACUGAUAGAUACAUAGUUUUUCCUUUGGUAUAUCGUCUUAUUGAGUUGGCAUUGAUUUUUCCUGUUGCAACCACAUCAGUGGAAAGAGCUUUCUCGGCUAUGAGUAUUAUCAAGACUGAGUUGAGGAAUAAGAUGGGCGAUGAUUGGUUGAAUUAUUCCAUGGUGUGCAAUAUUGAGCGAGAAAUAUUUGCAAAGGUUGAUGAUGAUGCUAUUAUAUAUCGCUUUCAAGACUACAGAUUUCGCAAAGGAACUUUACCUCGUUGUAGUAGUAAGUUUUCAACUUUGUACAAUGAUAAUUGUUUCACUUCACUCAUGAAAUUUUGCUUCUGA